CCUACGGGCGGCAGCAGUGAGGAAUAUUGGUCAAUGGGCGCGAGCCUGAACCAGCCAAGCAGCGUGAAGGAUGACUGCCCUACGGGUUGUAAACUUCUUUUAUAAAAGAAUAAAGUGAGGCACGUGUGCCUUUUUGUAUGUACUUUAUGAAUAAGGAUCGGCUAACUCCGUGCCAGCAGCCGCGGUAAUACGGAGGAUCCGAGCGUUAUCCGGAUUUAUUGGGGUGAAAGGGAGCGUAGAUGGGUUGUUAAGUCAGUUGUGAAAGUUUGCGGCGCAACAGGAAAAUUGCAAUUGAUACUGGAAGCCUGGAGUGCAGUUGAGGUAGGCGGAAUUCGUGGUGUAGCGGUGAAAUGCUUAGAUAUCACGAAGAACACCGAUUGCGAAGGCAGCCUACUAAACUGCCACUGACAUUGAUGCUCGAAAGUGUGGGUAGCAAACAGGAUUAGAUACCCGAGUAGUC
rnacentral:rRNA from 1 species